UGCCAGCCGCCGCGGUAAUACGAAGGGACCUAGCGUAGUUCGGAAUUACUGGGCUUAAAGAGUUCGUAGGUGGUUGAAAUAGUUGGUGGUGAAAUCCCAGAGCUUAACUCUGGAACUGCCAUCAAAACUUUUCAGCUAGAGUAUGAUAGAGGAAAGCAGAAUUUCUAGUGUAGAGGUGAAAUUCGUAGAUACUAGAAAGAAUACCAAAUGCGAAGGCAGCUUUCCGGAUCAUUACUGACACUGAGGAACGAAAGCAUGGGUAGCAAAUGGGAUUAGAUA
rnacentral:rRNA from 1 species